rnacentral:lncRNA from 1 species
AUGCGAUUGGUAAACGGUCUAGGCCGAAACUUGUUCCAGGUCAAGUCCUGUGAGCGGAAUUUGUCAUCUUCCAUCUUUUUAACCUUCUGCAAGAGGAGAGGAACGACUAGAUCUCUGCUGGGUAGAUCCUCUUCUUCUGGGUAACCUACCGUCUAGCGUGACUACCUGCCCAUGCGAACCUCGAAGUAACGUGACUCCUCUCUAUUUGGAGUUGUCGAAUGGUAAGCACUUUCUAGGGUUUUGGAUGGGAUGUACUUUGGAUCCGAGUCCCCUGUGCCUUCCAGAUCCCGCACCUGUCGAAUGGGUGAUUUAUCUCCCAACACCCGCAUUCGGGAAUCAUUAAGUCACGCUUGAAUUCUGAUUGGUGACUCACUUUCCU